CUAGUCGGGACCUAAGCCGAGGCCGAAAGGCGUAGGCGAUGGACAACAGGUUGAUAUUCCUGUACCACCUCCUCACCAUUUGAGCAAUGGGGGGACGCAGGAGGAUAGGGUAAGCGCGGUAUUGGAUAUCCGCGUCCAAGCAGUUAGGCUGGGAAAUAGGCAAAUCCGUUUCCCAUAAGGCUGAGCUGUGAUGGCGAGCGAAAUAUAGUAGCGAAGUUCCUGAUUCCACACUGCCAAGAAAAGCCUCUAGCGAGGUGAGAGGUGCCCGUACCGCAAACCGACACAGGUAGGCGAGGAGAGAAUCCUAAGGUGAUCGAGAGAACUCUCGUUAAGGAACUCGGCAAAAUGACCCCGUAACUUCGGGAGAAGGGGUGCUCUGUUAGGGUGCAAGCCCGAGAGAGCCGCAGUGAAUAGGCCCAGGCGACUGUUUAGCAAAAACACAGGUCUCUGCGAAGCCGUAAGGCGAAGUAUAGGGGCUGACGCCUGCCCGGUGCUGGAAGGUUAAGAGGAGCGCUUAGCGUAAGCGAAGGUGCGAAUUGAAGCCCCAGUAAACGGCGGCCGUAACAAUAACGGUCCUAAGGUAGCGAAAUUCCUUGUCGGGUAAGUUCCGACCCGCACGAAAGGCGCAACGAUCUGGGCACUGUCUCAACGAGAGACUCGGUGAAAUUAUAGUACCUGUGAAGAUGCAGGUUACCCGCGACAGGACGGAAAGACCCCGUGGAGCUUUACUGCAGCCUGAUAUUGAAUGUUGGUACAGCUUGUACAGGAUAGGUAGGAGCCUUGGAAACCGGAGCGCCAGCUUCGGUGGAGGCAUCGGUGGGAUACUACCCUGGCUGUAUUGACCUUCUAACCGCCGCCCUUAUCGGGCGGGGAGACAGUGUCAGGUGGGCAGUUUGACUGGGGCGGUCGCCUCCUAAAAGGUAACGGAGGCGCCCAAAGGUUCCCUCAGAACGGUUGGAAAUCAUUCGCAGAGUGUAAAGGCACAAGGGAGCUUGACUGCGAGACCUACAAGUCGAGCAGGGACGAAAGUCGGGCUUAGUGAUCCGGUGGUUCCGCAUGGAAGGGCCAUCGCUCAACGGAUAAAAGCUACCCCGGGGAUAACAGGCUUAUCUCCCCCAAGAGUCCACAUCGACGGGGAGGUUUGGCACCUCGAUGUCGGCUCAUCGCAUCCUGGGGCUGUAGUCGGUCCCAAGGGUUGGGCUGUUCGCCCAUUAAAGCGGUACGCGAGCUGGGUUCAGAACGUCGUGAGACAGUUCGGUCCCUAUCCGUCGCGGGCGCAGGAAAUUUGAGAGGAGCUGUCCUUAGUACGAGAGGACCGGGAUGGACGCACCGCUGGUGUACCAGUUGUUCUGCCAAGGGCAUCGCUGGGUAGCUAUGUGCGGACGGGAUAAGUGCUGAAAGCAUCUAAGCAUGAAGCCCCCCUCAAGAUGAGGUUUCCCAUUCCGCAAGGAAGUAAGAUCCCUGAAAGAUGAUCAGGUUGAUAGGUCUGAGGUGGAAGUGUGGCGACACAUGGAGCUGACAGAUACUAAUCGAUCGAGGACUUAACCU
rnacentral:rRNA from 1 species